rnacentral:rRNA from 1 species
UCCGAAAGGGGCUAGCGUUGUUCGGAAUUACUGGGCGUAAAGCGCACGUAGGCGGCCUUGUAAGAUGGGGGUGAAAUCCCCGGGCUCAACCCGGGAACUGCCUUCAUGACUGCAAAGCUAGAGGAUGCGAGAGGUUAGCGGAAUUCCGAGUGUAGAGGUGAAAUUCGUAGAUAUUCGGAAGAACACCAGUGGCGAAGGCGACUAACUGGCGCAUUUCUGACGCUGAGGUGCGAAAGCGUGGGGAGAAAACAGG